rnacentral:rRNA from 1 species
GUACAGUCAGGCACAGGGGGCGCGGUAAUGCGUAUGGGUCGAGCGUUAAUCGGAAUUGCUGGGCGUAAAGCGGGCGCAGGGGGUUUUGUAAUACAGGCGUGAAAUGCCCGGGCUUAACCUGGGAACUGCGUUUGUGACUGCAAGACUAGAGUACGGCAGAGGGGGGUGGAAUUCCACGUGUAGCAGUGAAAUGCGUAGAGAUGUGGAGGAACACCAAUGGCGAAGGCAGCCCCCUGGGUCGAUACUGACGCUCAUGCACGAAAGCGUGGGUAGCAAACAGGAUUAGAUACCCCGGUAGUC